ensembl:snRNA U1 U1 spliceosomal RNA
AUCCUUACCUGGCAGGGGAAACACCAUGAUCAUGUUUUCUCAGGAUGAGGCUAACCCAUUGCACUUGGGGUGCACUGGUCCUUGCAAUUUUACUCCACUACAUAAUUUGUGGUGGUGGAGUUUGCACUCUCCCC